ACCCUUUUAGUAUAAACAGUACAAUUGACUUCCAAUCAAUUAGUCUUGACCCAGACCAAGAAAGGGUA
rnacentral:tRNA from 1 species